UUACCCUCCCACCCGUCGCUGCCAAUUCAGCGACCGGGUGUGGAAACCCGUGUA
rnacentral:ncRNA from 1 species